AACGAACGCUGGCGGCAGGCCUAACACAUGCAAGUCGAACGCUCUUUUCGGAGAGAGUGGCGCACGGGUGAGUAACGCGUGGGAAUCUGCCCUUUGGUUCGGAAUAACCCUGGGAAACUAGGGCUAACACCGGAUGAGCCCCGAGUUCCGCGAGGGAGUUGGGGAAGUUACGCCGAGGAGGAGCCCGCGUCCGAUUAGCUAGUUGGUGAGGUAAGAGCUCACCAAGGCUUCGAUCGGUAGCUGGUCUGAGAGGACGAUCAGCCACCACUGGGAC
rnacentral:rRNA from 1 species